CCUACGGGAGGCAGCAGUGGGGAAUAUUGGACAAUGGGCGCAAGCCUGAUCCAGCCAUACCGCGUGGGUGAAGAAGGCCUUCGGGUUGUAAAGCCCUUUUGUUGGGAAAGAAAUCCAGCCGGUUAAUACCUGGUUGGGAUGACGGUACCCAAAGAAUAAGCACCGGCUAACUUCGUGCCAGCAGCCGCGGUAAUACGAAGGGUGCAAGCGUUACUCGGAAUUACUGGGCGUAAAGCGUGCGUAGGUGGUUGUUUAAGUCUGUUGUGAAAGCCCUGGGCUCAACCUGGGAACUGCAGUGGAAACUGGACAACUAGAGUGUGGUAGAGGGUAGCGGAAUUCCCGGUGUAGCAGUGAAAUGCGUAGAGAUCGGGAGGAACAUCCAUGGCGAAGGCAGCUACCUGGACCAACACUGACACUGAGGCACGAAAGCGUGGGGAGCAAACAGGAUUAGAUACCCUGGUAGUCCACGCCCUAAACGAUGCGAACUGGAUGUUGGGUGCAAUUUGGCACGCAGUAUCGAAGCUAACGCGUUAAGUUCGCCGCCUGGGGAGUACGGUCGCAAGACUGAAACUCAAAGGAAUUGACGG
rnacentral:rRNA from 1 species